UAAAGACCAGCUGGGGUCAAAGCCAUUUGGACAAUCUCUGGAUAAUCGAGAUUUUGAGAGCAGAAUCUUAAAGAGCAUUCAUGAAGAGGGGGAGCUAGGGCCAAGAAGGACUCUCUCAAAGAAAUCAGUAAGUAUCUUACACUUACAGCACAGGACACUUUGGAUUUGCCACAUUUCAAGAGCUGAAGAGUCACAUGUGGCUGGAAAACUGCACCCACACUUCACUGUGAUUCUGUGAUUUUCUCCAAGGCCAUGACACAGUCUUUCCUACUAACCAACAAACAGUGAAAAGUGGCAGGAUGCCAGUUCUGACUACCCCACGACUUGGGACAAAGAAGACUCCAAGCAUUGAAUGUGCCAGUGCACAAAGGAUAACAUGGUCCUUACCUGAAUGUUCUGAC
ensembl:lncRNA